GAUGAAGAACGCAGCGAAAUGCGAAAAGUAAUGUGAAUUGCAGAAUUCAGUGAACCAUCGAAUCUUUGAACGCACAUUGCGCCCGCUGGAACUCCGGCGGGCACGCCUGUCCGAGCGUCAUUUCAACCCUCAGGCCCCCCCUCGCGGGCGGGCCUGGUGUUGGGGCCCGGCCGCUACCCUGCGGCCGUCCCCUAAAUUCAGUGGCGGCCUCGCCGUGAUCCCUUGCGUAGUAAUGCACCUCGCACCGGAGAGCGCCGUGGCCACGCCGUAAAACCCCCAAUUUUCAAUGGUUGACCUCGGAUCAGGUGGGAAUACCCGCUGAACUUAAGCAUAUCAAUAAGCGGAGGA
rnacentral:misc_RNA from 1 species